rnacentral:sRNA from 1 species
AGACAUCAUAGGCGCCGCCGGUGCGUCACGGUGUAUCUCGUCCAUCUCCAGAGCUUGCGGCAUUCCCCAUCGCUGUUAAUUCACCCAACUUCAGGGUUUCCUGGAUAUAAUCAACCUGCACGCUGGUCCUCUCCCUUGAGCUCUCCGUCCCCAUGCUCCAGGCCUGGCCUAACUUAUAGUUUGGCCCUAUUUACCCGCCCUAGGCCUUCCCAUAGCCAACCAAGGGCUUGGUACUAUCCGCCCUGCCGCUGCCUCUGCUUCGUCGCUUGCUUUUUUUUUUUUUUUUUUUUUUUAGAAGCGGGCUCAUAUUCACUGUCAAUUCCUAUCUCUGUUUCAUCUGAUCAUACCGUGUCUGCUCUUUGGUUAUCUUUCUCUUCUUUCUUUCAUCCUCUAUUUACCUCUAUUUCUCAUCUCCUCCUCACUUAUUGCAUAUAUUAUAUUUUGUAUUCAUCCGAUAUCUUCUUCCUCAUUCUGCCAGCCACCCGUCCUUCGCCCACAUUGGUCAACUUUCCUCCAUACCGUUCUGCUCCCGAAUACCCCGCCAACCCCAGCAAGCGCCAGCAAAUCGCACUAACGCUUUCUGGUGCUACUUUCACCGCCGGCUUUUUGUUGCGACACCCAGUCAGGGCACCUGACCAGCUCAUACAUUUGUUUCACCCCAUGCUCCAGCUCCGAGUGCACCGGCGUCAUUUCUCCUAGCGAACAUUUUCUCUACGCUUCAACGGGCUGGGAAGGUACAACGUAUCAGGGUUUUCCAGAAACAUGGAAUUGUCCGACGACGUUCAAGCGUCAUAUAUCAAAAUCAUCGAUUCUAUCUUAGCAACCAGUGACCUGAACACUAUCUCAGAAAAGCGCAUACGGAGAGGAUUGCAAGAUGCCGUGGACUACGAUAUCACCCCUCAAAAGGCGGCGAUCAAAGUCCUAAUCAUGCAGCGCUUCGAUAUCUUUGCGGAACAGAGUGAGAAGCAGGCAGAAUCAACUCCGGCGGUCAAUGGCCAUUCGUCGAAUGGGCAGCCCGACAUUCCCACAAUCGAGCCCAUCUCCCCCGCCCUGUCAACCUCCCCGCAAAAACGCACGCCAGAGCCGGAAAGCGUCUCGGAUUCCGGCGAUAAAUCCCCACCCAAGAAGAAGAGAAGGUCAAACCUGGUAGAUGCCGACGCGAUCUUUGCGGCCAAAUUGCAAGCGGAGGAGAACCUGCGCGCGCGCCCUACCAGGGGCGCUAAUUCGAGGAAGAUUGCACCUGUCAAGAAAAAGAAGCCGGCUACGAAAUCAAAGACAUCAAAGAAAGUGAAAGCGGAGGAUGAUUCAGAUCUAGAUGCGCAGGACUCGGAAUCCAAAAAGGAAGUAACGAGAACGGGUGGUUUUCAUAAACCCCUUGCGUUAUCUGCUCCUCUCUCUGUCCUCCUAGGCGGGGAAGUAACCCUUUCCCGACCCCAAGCCGUGAAGAAAGUGUGGCAAUAUAUCCGCGAAAACAACCUCCAAGAUCCCGCUGAUCGCCGGCAAAUCCGAUGCGACGAUCUCAUGCGAGCCGUCUUUAAACAGGACCGAAUACACAUGUUCACAAUGACCAAGAUACUCAACCACAACCUCUACAACCUUGACGAGUGAGGACAGAAUAUAGAGAAGAAAUUAUUCGAAAACUAACGUAGCCCCACGAACCAGAAGAAGAAAUUCCCUUUUUCUUUUAUCGGUAAUCCAUCAUCGCAAUCAUCAUCUUGAUCCGGCGUUUAAAUGACGGACAAGGGAGGGAUAUUUACACCGCGUAUUCUUGUUUCGUUUUCUUUUGUAAUCCGCCAUCGGAUUGCAAAUUGUGCUAUAAUGCCUGGAAGAUCUAAUAUCUUUUCAUCGUCUUUCCUUUUUUUUCCCUUUGUUUUCUUCGCUUCUCCAUUCUAGCAUUAAACAUCUAUCAUGCCAUAUUUUUGCUUGCGUCGCCCGCCGAACCUGAAACCCACAGAAGAAAAAUGCAAACCUCAGAACAGGUCAUCUCUCUCCCAUGAUAUUAUCACUCGAACCACUGAUUAUUUCCCAAUUCCCAAAGCCAGGGCGACCAAUCCAGCUAUUUUCAUGCAUGCUUCCCUCUCUCCAUUUACAUUUUCCUUUUAUCUUUAAAACAUUAUUAUCAUAUUUUCCAUAUUUUGCUCCAGCGGGUGGAGUUGGUUGGUGGGAUCCUCCCUUGUGUAUGUUUGUGCGUGCCAAAUUGAUAUGAAUCUGUUAAUUCACAUGUUACUUAUUCCGCGCGCCUUGAUAUAUAUUCGCGAUUAUCUUAUGCUUCGAUCCAAAUUUUGUCUUUUUUCUCCUUUCGUUCUUUUGGCUGCACUAUGUUCUCCCUUCGGAGAUUUCCAAUAUUGAGUUUUCUUGCUUCUCUUUUUUCCUUCUGCUGCUGCUCCUCAUGAUAUUCCCGAGAUAUUCGCAGCUCGAUUCCUUAUUUGUGCCAUUGGCUUCACUGUAACUCCCUUUUUAGCCAGGCGAUUAAUUAUAUUUUGAUAGUCUAAAUACGUCGACUAACUUCCGUAACUACCAUAGAAUAACAAAGGAAUUCUUCGAGCCAG